rfam:Gossypium raimondii Chr08_contig_1291, whole genome shotgun sequence.
UAUUAAAAAUUUCAUCCAUUUGUACUAUUAAAAAUUAGUGUGGUUGAUGGAAUAACUAAACAGUGACACGUGGCAUGCAAAGUGUACCUCAACUGACGUACAUGGACCAACUUUUAACAGUAGAAAUGGAUAAUUUUUUUAACA